UACAGAGGGUGCGAGCGUUAAUCGGAAUUAUUGGGCGUAAAGGGCGCGUAGGCGGCUUGGCAAGUGGAUGGUGAAAUCCCUCGGCUUAACCGAGGAACUGCCGUCCAAAACUGCUUCGCUUGAGACCGGGAGAGGUGAGUGGAAUUCCCAGUGUAGCGGUGAAAUGCGUAGAUAUUGGGAGGAACACCAGUGGCGAAGGCGGCUCACUGGACCGGUACUGACGCUGAUGCGCGGAAAGCGUGGGGAGCAAACGGG
rnacentral:rRNA from 1 species